AUUGAACGCUGGCGGCAUGCCUUACACAUGCAAGUCGAACGGCAGCACGGGAGCAAUCCUGGUGGCGAGUGGCGAACGGGUGAGUAAUAUAUCGGAACGUGCCCAGUCGUGGGGGAUAACGUAGCGAAAGCUACGCUAAUACCGCAUACGAUCUAUGGCUGAAAGCGGGGGAUCGCAAGACCUUGCGCGAUUGGAGCGGCCGAUAUCAGAUUAGGUAGUUGGUGGGGUAAAGGCUCACCAAGCCGACGAUCUGUAGCUGGUCUGAGAGGACGACCAGCCACACUGGGACUGAGACACGGCCCAGACUCCUACGGGAGGCAGCAGUGGGGAAUUUUGGACAAUGGGCGCAAGCCUGAUCCAGCAAUGCCGCGUGCAGGAUGAAGGCCUUCGGGUUGUAAACUGCUUUUGUACGGAGCGAAAAGGCUUCCACUAAUACUGGGGGCUCAUGACGGUACCGUAAGAAUAAGCACCGGCUAACUACGUGCCAGCAGCCGCAGUAAUAC
rnacentral:rRNA from 1 species